UCCUGAUAGCUCAGUUGGUAAAGAGUCUGCCUGCAAUGCAGAAAACCCUGGUUCAAUUCCAGGGUUGGGAA
rnacentral:tRNA from 1 species